CAGCAGCCGCGUAAUACGAAGGGUGCAAGCGUUACUCGGAAUUACUGGGCGUAAAGCGUGCGUAGGUGGUGGUUUAAGUCCGUUGUGAAAGCCCUGGGCUCAACCUGGGAAUUGCAGUGGAUACUGGGUCACUAGAGUGUGGUAGAGGAUAGUGGAAUUUCCGGUGUAGCAGUGAAAUGCGUAGAGAUCGGAAGGAACAUCUGUGGCGAAGGCGACUAUCUGGGCCAACACUGACACUGAGGCACGAAAGCGUGGGGAGCAAACAGGAUUAGAUACCCGGGUAGUCCCUGUCUCUUAUACA
rnacentral:rRNA from 1 species